rnacentral:rRNA from 1 species
GGGUUGUGAGGUUAAGCGACUAAGCGUACACGGUGGAUGCCCUGGCAGUCAGAGGCGAUGAAGGACGUGCUAAUCUGCGAUAAGCGCCGGUAAGGUGAUAUGAACCGUUAUAACCGGCGAUUUCCGAAUGGGGAAACCCAGUGUGACUCGUCACACUAUCAUUAACUGAAUCCAUAGGUUAAUGAGGCGAACCGGGGGAACUGAAACAUCUAAGUACCCCGAGGAAAAGAAAUCAACCGAGAUUCCCCCAGUAGCGGCGAGCGAACGGGGAGGAGCCCAGAGCCUGAAUCAGCAUGUGUGUUAGUGGAAGCGUCUGGAAAGGCGCGCGAUACAGGGUGACAGCCCCGUACACAAAAGCGCAUGUGCUGUGAGCUCGAUGAGUAGGGCGGGACACGUGGUAUCCUGUCUGAAUAUGGGGGGACCAUCCUCCAAGGCUAAAUACUCCUGACUGACCGAUAGUGAACCAGUACCGUGAGGGAAAGGCGAAAAGAACCCCGGCGAGGGGAGUGAAAAAGAACCUGAAACCGUGUACGUACAAGCAGUGGGAGCCCCACCACUAAGCCAGUGGUGAACUCCACAUACGCAUCCUUUGCUGAGGAUACGGUUAACGGAGCGCAAGCGACGUUCAACCGCAAAAGAAGCAGAGGGGGCUUAGUGGUGGGGUGACUGCGUACCUUUUGUAUAAUGGGUCAGCGACUUAUAUUCUGUAGCAAGGUUAACCGAAUAGGGGAGCCGGAGGGAAACCGAGUCUUAAUUGGGCGUUAAGUUGCAGGGUAUAGACCCGAAACCCGGUGAUCUAGCCAUGGGCAGGUUGAAGGUUGGGUAACACUAACUGGAGGACCGAACCGACUAAUGUUGAAAAAUUAGCGGAUGACCUGUGGCUGGGGGUGAAAGGCCAAUCAAACCGGGAGAUAGCUGGUUCUCCCCGAAAGCUAUUUAGGUAGCGCCUCGUGAAUUCAUCUCCGGGGGUAGAGCACUGUUUCGGCUAGGGGGCCAUCCCGGCUUACCAACCCGAUGCAAACUGCGAAUACCGGAGAAUGUUAUCACGGGAGACACACGGCGGGUGCUAACGUCCGUCGUGAAGAGGGAAACAACCCAGACCGCCAGCUAAGGUCCCAAAGUCAUGGUUAAGUGGGAAACGAUGUGGGAAGGCCCAGACAGCCAGGAUGUUGGCUUAGAAGCAGCCAUCAUUUAAAGAAAGCGUAAUAGCUCACUGGUCGAGUCGGCCUGCGCGGAAGAUGUAACGGGGCUAAACCAUGCACCGAAGCUGCGGCAGCGACACUAUGUGUUGUUGGGUAGGGGAGCGUUCUGUAAGCCUGUGAAGGUGGCCUGUGAGGGUUGCUGGAGGUAUCAGAAGUGCGAAUGCUGACAUAAGUAACGAUAAAGCGGGUGAAAAGCCCGCUCGCCGGAAGACCAAGGGUUCCUGUCCAACGUUAAUCGGGGCAGGGUGAGUCGACCCCUAAGGCGAGGCCGAAAGGCGUAGUCGAUGGGAAACGGGUUAAUAUUCCCGUACUUGGUGUUACUGCGAAGGGGGGACGGAGAAGGCUAUGUUGGCCGGGCGACGGUUGUCCCGGUUUAAGCGUGUAGGUGUGUGUUCCAGGUAAAUCCGGUUCACUUUAACACUGAGGCGUGACGACGAGGCACUACGGUGCUGAAGCAACAAAUGCCCUGCUUCCAGGAAAAGCCUCUAAGCAUCAGGUAACAUCAAAUCGUACCCCAAACCGACACAGGUGGUCAGGUAGAGAAUACCAAGGCGCUUGAGAGAACUCGGGUGAAGGAACUAGGCAAAAUGGUGCCGUAACUUCGGGAGAAGGCACGCUGACACGUAGGUGAAGUGAUUUACUCAUGGAGCUGAAGUCAGUCGAAGAUACCAGCUGGCUGCAACUGUUUAUUAAAAACACAGCACUGUGCAAACACGAAAGUGGACGUAUACGGUGUGACGCCUGCCCGGUGCCGGAAGGUUAAUUGAUGGGGUCAGCGCAAGCGAAGCUCCUGAUCGAAGCCCCGGUAAACGGCGGCCGUAACUAUAACGGUCCUAAGGUAGCGAAAUUCCUUGUCGGGUAAGUUCCGACCUGCACGAAUGGCGUAAUGAUGGCCAGGCUGUCUCCACCCGAGACUCAGUGAAAUUGAACUCGCUGUGAAGAUGCAGUGUACCCGCGGCAAGACGGAAAGACCCCGUGAACCUUUACUAUAGCUUGACACUGAACAUUGAGCCUUGAUGUGUAGGAUAGGUGGGAGGCUUUGAAGUGUGGACGCCAGUCUGCAUGGAGCCGACCUUGAAAUACCACCCUUUAAUGUUUGAUGUUCUAACGUGGACCCGUGAUCCGGGUUGCGGACAGUGUCUGGUGGGUAGUUUGACUGGGGCGGUCUCCUCCUAAAGAGUAACGGAGGAGCACGAAGGUUGGCUAAUCCUGGUCGGACAUCAGGAGGUUAGUGCAAUGGCAUAAGCCAGCUUGACUGCGAGCGUGACGGCGCGAGCAGGUGCGAAAGCAGGUCAUAGUGAUCCGGUGGUUCUGAAUGGAAGGGCCAUCGCUCAACGGAUAAAAGGUACUCCGGGGAUAACAGGCUGAUACCGCCCAAGAGUUCAUAUCGACGGCGGUGUUUGGCACCUCGAUGUCGGCUCAUCACAUCCUGGGGCUGAAGUAGGUCCCAAGGGUAUGGCUGUUCGCCAUUUAAAGUGGUACGCGAGCUGGGUUUAGAACGUCGUGAGACAGUUCGGUCCCUAUCUGCCGUGGGCGCUGGAGAACUGAGGGGGGCUGCUCCUAGUACGAGAGGACCGGAGUGGACGCAUCACUGGUGUUCGGGUUGUCAUGCCAAUGGCACUGCCCGGUAGCUAAAUGCGGAAGAGAUAAGUGCUGAAAGCAUCUAAGCACGAAACUUGCCCCGAGAUGAGUUCUCCCUGAGACUUAAAGUCUCCUGAAGGAACGUUGAAGACGACGACGUUGAUAGGCCGGGUGUGUAAGCGCAGCGAUGCGUUGAGCUAACCGGUACUAAUGAACCGUGAGGCUUAACCUUACAACGCCGAAG